rnacentral:tRNA from 1 species
GCCUGAGUGGCUCAUUUGGUUAAGCGUCUGACUCUUGGUUUCUGCUCAGGUCAGGAUCUCAGGGUCAUGGGAUCAAGUCCCACCUCAGGCA